rnacentral:lncRNA from 1 species
UUUUUAGCUUUAAGUCUAAGUUGCUACUUGCCCAAUGUUUGAUUAAUAUUAAAAAUCAAAAUAUCGCAUUUUUAAUACUUAUAUGACUUAUAUAUACAUGACUUUAUUUGGCUCACAGCGAGUUCUAAGCUAGUAGAGUCAUAAAAGAGGAAAAUGUUAAGAUGAAAGAAAGCAAAUUGAAUAACAGUCUCAACUUGAAA